rnacentral:ncRNA from 2 species
CCUCCUGGGAAGUCCUCGUGUUGUACCCCU